rnacentral:rRNA from 1 species
UACGUAGGGGGCAAGCGUUAUCCGGAUUUACUGGGUGUAAAGGGAGCGUAGGCGGCGAUGCAAGUCAGAAGUGAAAGCCCGGGGCUCAACUCCGGGACUGCUUUUGAAACUGUAUGGCUAGAUUGCAGGAGAGGCAAGUGGAAUUCCUAGUGUAGCGGUGAAAUGCGUAGAUAUUAGGAGGAACACCAGUGGCGAAGGCGGCUUACUGGACGGCAACUGACGCUGAGGCUCGAAAGCGUGGGGAGCAAACAGG